GAAGGUGUACUGUGAGGUAUGCUGGAGGUAUCAGAAGUGCGAAUGCUGACAUAAGUAACGAUAAAGCGGGUGAAAAGCCCGCUCGCCGGAAGACCAAGGGUUCCUGUCCAACGUUAAUCGGGGCAGGGUGAGUCGACCCCUAAGGCGAGGCCGAAAGGCGUAGUCGAUGGGAAACAGGUUAAUAUUCCUGUACUUGGUGUUACUGCGAAGGGGGGACGGAGAAGGCUAUGUUGGCCGGGCGACGGUUGUCCCGGUUUAAGCGUGUAGGCUGGUUUUCCAGGCAAAUCCGGAAAAUCAAGGCUGAGGCGUGAUGACGAGGCACUACGGUGCUGAAGCAACAAAUGCCCUGCUUCCAGGAAAAGCCUCUAAGCAUCAGGUAACAUCAAAUCGUACCCCAAACCGACACAGGUGGUCAGGUAGAGAAUACCAAGGCGCUUGAGAGAACUCGGGUGAAGGAACUAGGCAAAAUGGUGCCGUAACUUCGGGAGAAGGCACGCUGAUAUGUAGGUGAAGUCCCUUGCGGAUGGAGCUGAAAUCAGUCGAAGAUACCAGCUGGCUGCAACUGUUUAUUAAAAACACAGCACUGUGCAAACACGAAAGUGGACGUAUACGGUGUGACGCCUGCCCGGUGCCGGAAGGUUAAUUGAUGGGGUUAGCGGUAACGCGAAGCUCUUGAUCGAAGCCCCGGUAAACGGCGGCCGUAACUAUAACGGUCCUAAGGUAGCGAAAUUCCUUGUCGGGUAAGUUCCGACCUGCACGAAUGGCGUAAUGAUGGCCAGGCUGUCUCCACCCGAGACUCAGUGAAAUUGAACUCGCUGUGAAGAUGCAGUGUACCCGCGGCAAGACGGAAAGACCCCGUGAACCUUUACUAUAGCUUGACACUGAACAUUGAGCCUUGAUGUGUAGGAUAGGUGGGAGGCUUUGAAGUGUGGACGCCAGUCUGCAUGGAGCCGGCCUUGAAAUACCACCCUUUAAUGUUUGAUGUUCUAACGUUGGCCCCUGAUCGGGGUUGCGGACAGUGUCUGGUGGGUAGUUUGACUGGGGCGGUCUCCUCCUAAAGAGUAACGGAGGAGCACGAAGGUUGGCUAAUCCUGGUCGGACAUCAGGAGGUUAGUGCAAUGGCAUAAGCCAGCUUGACUGCGAGCGUGACGGCGCGAGCAGGUGCGAAAGCAGGUCAUAGUGAUCCGGUGGUUCUGAAUGGAAGGGCCAUCGCUCAACGGAUAAAAGGUACUCCGGGGAUAACAGGCUGAUACCGCCCAAGAGUUCAUAUCGACGGCGGUGUUUGGCACCUCGAUGUCGGCUCAUCACAUCCUGGGGCUGAAGUAGGUCCCAAGGGUAUGGCUGUUCGCCAUUUAAAGUGGUACGCGAGCUGGGUUUAGAACGUCGUGAGACAGUUCGGUCCCUAUCUGCCGUGGGCGCUGGAGAACUGAGGGGGGCUGCUCCUAGUACGAGAGGACCGGAGUGGACGCAUCACUGGUGUUCGGGUUGUCAUGCCAAUGGCACUGCCCGGUAGCUAAAUGCGGAAGAGAUAAGUGCUGAAAGCAUCUAAGCACGAAACUUGCCCCGAGAUGAGUUCUCCCUGACUCCUUGAGAGUCCUGAAGGAACGUUGAAGACGACGACGUUGAUAGGCCGGGUGUGUAAGCGCAGCGAUGCGUUGAGCUAACCGGUACUAAUGAACCGUGAGGCUUAACCUUACAACGCCGAAG
rnacentral:rRNA from 1 species